GACAUAAUAUUAUUGAUCUACUUACACAUACACACAAUCCGUCAAUGAAGUAAAAUGAAAAAAGGAAAAGAUAUACAGGGACCUUGGGGCGAACUAUUCUAUACUGAUAAGAUAUUUCAAGUGUUGGCUGCAUGCGUUUUAACUUUAUUUGCAAUUAUUAAUAUCGUAUAUCUGAUAGGCCGUUGUCCAUGGCUGACACUGAACUAUGUAUUCUAUGCUAUGCUUAUAGCCUUUGGAUAUUAUAUUGGUUACGCAAGGUGCAAAUCUAAUAUUAGGAAAAGCCAGAAUACCUUAAAAGAAAUGAUAUAUAACUGAAAUUCAUCUUUUCUGUGAUGUCUGCGUGUGAUAAAUUUGAUUGUGGAAACUCAUGGAUAUAAGACACAGUCUUUAAGCGGAUCAUUGUUAUUUUGGAUUAAAAGAAAUAUCAUCGUGGUGUAUGUGUAAAAUUCGGUUCCAAUAAUUCCUUUGUUGUUAUGUAUGAUUGAAAGAAUACUUGUUGUGAUACUCAUCCAGCCAUUGAAACAAUGCAAAUCAGAUUCAAAUUAAUAAUAAGCAUAAUAUGCAUUAUCAAGAAAGACAAUGUGUAUUAUCCUUACAAUAACUUCAUAAGAUUUUUUGACAGAGCUUUCUUGCUUCUAUUUUGUCGCCUGAAAAGAAACAACCAUAUUUGAUGAGAAUUGACCAGUGUUUCCUUUUCAUUUACUUUCGAUAGUUUGAAGUACUGAAUCAAUUAUAACAGCUGGUUCGGCUUAAUGUUACAAGGGAAAAUGUAUAGAGCAAUGCUAUGACGAGAAUUAUUUCAUUUGUCAGAUGUAUCAAAUUCAUUUUUUUUAUUUACCUCGCAAAGCAUAUUUUAUAUAAUUUUGGUGAAAAUAUAUCUGUACGAUUAAAUGUAUAAUACAGCG